AAUAUGAAGGUCAGCUGAGACCUUACCGGAUUAGCUGAGAGGUGGUGCAUUGGCCGUCGUCAGUUCGUACUGUGAAGCAUCCUGUUAAGUCAGGCAACGAGCGAGACCCACGUCCACAGUUGCCAGCAUACCCUCCGGGGUGAUGGGUACACUGUGGAGACCGCCGCUGCUAAAGCGGAGGAAGGAAUGGGCAACGGUAGGUCAGUAUGCCCCGAAUCUCCCGGGCUACACGCGGGCUACAAUGGUUGGUACAAUGGGCAUCUACCCCGAAAGGUGAAGGCAAUCUCCUAAACCCAUCCGUAGUUCGGAUUGUGGGCUGCAACUCGCCCACAUGAAGCUGGAAUCUGUAGUAAUCGUGUCUCAAAAUGGCACGGUGAAUAUGUCCCUGCUCCUU
rnacentral:rRNA from 1 species